rnacentral:lncRNA from 10 species
GUUGUUGCAACCGAAUUGACUUAGCAUUUACUGCGUUUUAAAACUCAAAUCCAUUUGGUAAGGGGGCCUAAUCAUCUAAGAAAAACAGUCAUGUGAAGAAACAGGAUGCUGCAUCUGAUUGAUUUAUAAAAGCAUCAGGUUACUGAAGUUUUAGCCAGCUCAUAGGAAAAAUACUUUCCCAUUUACUCCCCAUUUCCUUCACGUCAGGAUAAACUCAUUCCCACACUACAAAAUAUGCCUUCAAAAUCCCAUACCCUGCAUGAGACCAAAUUCUUUGGCUUUUGGAGGGCUUUCUCCACAGCCUGAAAUUGAUUCCUGACAGCAGUUCCUUUGUGGCUUUGCUCAAACAAACUCGGAAUCUUUUGGCUCAUGGCACCAGCAGUAAUUGAAAGAAGAUACCACCACUGUUUUGUACAUUCAUGGAGCUGCUCAGGAGAAAUGUGCUUUCUUUCCUGAUCAAGGCUUUACUGCACUGCAAUUGUCUUUGGUCCCAUAGAGGAUUUAAUUUGUUUUUGCAAGAGGCCUGGAGACACUGGCACCUGAAGAUGACCCUAAUCCAGUGUGAAUAACCGAGGUGAUUCCCAGCUGAGCUACAGUAUCUGGGUUUUCACGCUGUGGGUUCCCUGGCAGCCACCUCCCAUCACUAUGGUGUCCUCGCUUCAGUUUUGACACGACAUCAUUAGCAGCUGCAGACAGUCCUUGUUCCGGCUGAAUAAGAGAGCACAGACGGACUUGGCACUGGGCGCACACCAGGAGGGUCCGAGGCGGGGCCGCGGGGACCUGCUCUUGGGAGCGCGGACAGAGCCCCACUGUCCCUCUCCCCAGGGCCGUGCUCGUCAAAGACGGACAGGCAGUGGCUACACAUGAAGCCACGAAUGCCUUGAACUCGGCUCUGGACCUGAUUUCUUAUUUAACUGAAGGACAAAGAAGAAAAGAACAAAAACACCCAUCAGCACGCCGUGGCGUCCCCUCGGACUCGCAAUCACUGCAGCGGGAUUUCCAAGCUCCCCUUCCCAGGGCACAGGCGGGAGGACCUCCGCGAUGGUGGGGGCGGAGGAGGCUCCACCCUGACAGCUUCCUAUAACCCCACUGACCCGUGCCACAUGGGUCACAGCAUUGCAGAAUUACAGCUUUGAGAAUAAUUUAGGAACAGAAAAUUUGUGAUUAUAAUAUGCUGAGUUUUAAAGCUAAGAUAUAAAAUCAUAUUCACACUGAAUACCACUAACAAAAUAUUCAUAUGCAAAUCAGGUUAAAAUAUACGCCAACAGGAUUCAUAGAAGUUGUAUGUUAGGUAGUAGAAAGUGAUAGAAAGAUUGUUUUGUAGCUAUAUCACACUUAGGCUGAAUGCAAUUUAAAAAUAGGCAUUAUUAUUACAUGUUAUCAAAUUGCAGUGGGGGCUCUAUAACAAAAAGGAUCACUUUUUUAAGGAAACAUAAAGGAGAUGAUAAGAAAAAACCCCACCCUAUUGUAUUAUCAAUUGUAAAGUCAUAUUUGCAAUGUACCUUUCCUUUUCUUUUAAUAAAAUAAGCAUAAACUGUUUUCUUUAAAGACUAUCCUACAAGAUGUGAGGCAAGGGAGUGAACGUCCUUGCUAGGCCCGGCUCCUCCUCAUUGCCCCUCCUCUGCCUCAGCCCAGGACACAAUGUAUUAUACGUGAACCAUCACUGCACAUGCUAGAUACACAAUAAAAGUUAGUGCCAUUCUUUCUCCUCUCUUCUUAUAUGGAUCCUUUCCAUUCAUUUAUUGCAUCUUAUAAAAGUAAUACAUCUUAAUAAUAGUAAAUUAUUUAUAGAGAAUAAGAUAGAACAUACCAUAUACGAUUACAUAGAAAAGGAAAUAACAAUACACAUUUCCAUAGCAUUCAACAUAUACUCAGUAUUGUUCAAUGCCCUUUGUACACAUUAUCUCCUUUAAUCCUCAAGCGGUCCUAUGAAGAUGGAUUACCCUCAUUUUACAGUUAAAGAAACUGAGGACAAAUAAGUUAAAUAACUUGCCCAAUUUAGAUUUUCACAAAACUACCUUAAAAUUUUGAUUUGUCUAAGGCUAAUUUUACAAGGUAAUUCCAAAUUAAUUGGCAUGUUUAGUAUAAUAAAUCUUUCUUUCCAUGAACACUGUUUUCUAUUUUUAUUUUAUUUUGUUAAUUUAUUUUUGAGACAGUGUCUCACCCUGUCCCCUAGCCUGGAGUGCAGAGGCAUGAACAUGGCUCAUUGCAGCAGUAAGCUCCUGGGCUCAAGCAAUGUCCCUACCUCAAUCUCCCAACGUGCUGGGAUUACAGGUGUAAGCCACCACACCAAGCCGCUAUUUAUUUAUUUUUAAUUUUUUCUUUCAUAAAUUGUGUAGUUUCCACAUAGAGGUCUUGUAAAAUUUCUACUGUGUUCAUUUCUAGAAAUGUUAUAGUUUGAGUUGUUAUUGUAAAUUGAAUUGUUUUGUAUUACAUUUUUAUAAUUGGAUAUUGUCACUAUGCAGGGGAAUAAUAUUUAUUUGUUGUUCUUAUUUUAAUCUCUAUUUUGUUGCUAUACUCAGAGUUUCUAAUAUAAACACAGCAUCUGCCAAAAAUGUUAACUAGUUCCUUUCUUUCUUUUUUAACUUCAUAUCUAAUCCCUAAUUGGAUAGAUUUUUGUUACUAUUCUUUGUUAAUGUAUCUAUUUAUAUUUUUCUUAGUUUAGAAAACAUAGUCUCUAUUAUUUAUGUAUCUUUAACUAUGUGUGGACAUUAUUUAUAGCCUGAUAACAGGAUGAAAAUUAUUUUAUAAUCCAUUGGCAUUAGAAAAAAAUGUGCUCUUUUGUUUCAGAAUAAAGUUUG